AUUGAACGCUGGCGGCAGGCCUAACACAUGCAAGUCGAACGGUAACAGGAAGAAGCUUGCUUCUUUGCUGACGAGUGGCGGACGGGUGAGUAAUGUCUGGGAAACUGCCUGAUGGAGGGGGAUAACUACUGGAAACGGUAGCUAAUACCGCAUAACGUCGCAAGACCAAAAAGGGGGACCUUCGGGCCUCUUGCCAUCGGAUGUGCCCAGAUGGGAUUAGCUAGUAGGUGGGGUAACGGCUCACCUAGGCGACGAUUCCUAGCUGGUCUGAGAGGAUGACCAGCCACACUGGAACUGAGACACGGUCCAGACUCCUACGGGAGGCAGCAGUGGGGAAUAUUGCACAAUGGGCGCAAGCCUGAUGCAGCCAUGCCGCGUGUAUGAAGAAGGCCUUCGGGUUGUAAAGUACUUUCAGCGGGGAGGAAGGGAGUAAAGUUAAUACCUUGGCUCAUUGACGUUACCCGCAGAAGAAGCACCGGCUAACUCCGUG
rnacentral:rRNA from 1 species